rnacentral:rRNA from 1 species
UACGUAGGGUGCGAGCGUUGUCCGGAAUUACUGGGCGUAAAGAGCUCGUAGGUGGUUUGUCGCGUUGUCCGUGAAAACUCACAACUCAAUUGCGGGCGUGCGGGCGAUACGGGCAGACUGGAGUACUGCAGGGGAGACUGGAAUUCCUGGUGUAGCGGUGGAAUGCGCAGAUAUCAGGAGGAACACCGGUGGCGAAGGCGGGUCUCUGGGCAGUAACUGACGCUGAGGAGCGAAAGCGUGGGGAGCGAACAGG